AUUGAACGCUGGCGGCAGGCUUAACACAUGCAAGUCGAAUGAGUGGCGGACGGGUGAGUUAUGCUUGGGAAUCUGGAUUAUGGAGGGGGAUAACGACGGGAAACUGUCGCUAAUACCGCGCACCAUAGGAACAGACCAAUUGGGAUUGGGUAGUUGGUUGGGCAAUGGCCUACCAAGCCGACGAUGUCUAGCUGGUCCGAGAGGAUGACCGGCAACACCGUGACGAAUACACGGCCCGGACUCCUACGGGAAGCAGCAGUGGGGAAUAUUGCGCAAUGGGGGCAACCUGACGCAGCCAUGCCGCGUGAAUGAAGAAGGCCUUCGGGUUGUAAAGUUCUUUCGGUGACGAGGCGUUAAUCACAGAAGCAGCACCGGCUAACUCCGUGCCAGCAGCCGCGGUAAUUC
rnacentral:rRNA from 1 species